UCUAGUUUCUGCUGUAAACAGCUAUCCUCUUUGCUAUUUAGUAUGACUCGCAAGAUUGCACCUGCUGUAAAAGAUGCUGUAAGAAGCGCUCUGUCACUGUAUCCACAAAGUCUGCCUUUUCCUCCUGGGAACUCCGCAGGAGGUUCCAGCUCAAGGCAGUCAGAGCCUCCUGCUACAGAACAGCAGCCAAGCAGUGGUCAGAGAGCAACGGCUGACAGCUCUGCAAGAUUUCUUUCUGGAUGUGAGUUAAAAGAUACAGGUAUUCUCUGAUUGGUGGAUCUCUGGAAAUAAACACAACUUGUGUUAUGGAUAUGUCCUGCUGUAUGAAAGCGUCUUCUAAAAAGCCAGGCACAAAGAAUUUUCAGACAAAAUGAUAUGGCGAGGAACUAUCAAAACACAGUGCCUCACUGAAUAUUGUCAGCUUCAAUCUGAUUUCUCAAACACCUAGUUUCUUACUUGCAUCACAGGGAUGCUGAAGGAAGAAGCCAAAAUUUUGACACAAAGUGUUUCUCCUGGAGAAAAAGAAGAUGACUCUGUUUGCUGUAACAUCAAUUGCUGGAAGAAGACUGUGAGCAAAGAUUGCAAUUUAGAUCAUUUUAGAUCACAGUGGCUAAUGUCUUCUGUUUACUUAUUCUUUCUUUUCAUAACUGACGAUGGGGAAAGCACUGGCUGUUCAGAUGCAUAGGAAUAUCCUUGAUCUUUCCAACACUGGUCACGCUUCUCAGGUAAUGAUCCAAGUAUGUGCUCGGAUUGCUACCUACCAAAUUUGUGCACACAGUGAUUGUAUAAAGCCAUAUUCAGAAGGGAGUUGAUACUUUAGCAGGCAGCAGUUCUUAGACACAGAGGCCAACAUUUUAAUUGAUAAUGAGCAGACAGAGAAGGGAAAUAGGAGGCUUGAGAUGCAGCAGAAGAAUUGGGAUAAUUUACUCAAUUUGUUUUCCUGGAAACCAAGAUUUUAUGUCAAGAAUUUGUAAUAAAACUAACUGAUGCACUCACACUCGUCUCCAUAAAAUGCUUAAUCACAUUGUUCUAUAACAGCUUUUCUGUUUAUGAGGAAAUUUACCAGCUUUUUAAUCUCCUUUAUUUGAUUAACAUUAAAAUCAACAACUGCAAUUUGUGUGGGGUUCUGGUAACCAUCAUAUAGUAUUUGCAAACUUAUUAAGGGAGAUAGAUAUUUUUUAAGAUCUCAACCAAAACAGUAUCAAGAUUUAAGUACAAGAUAAUAUUUUUAAAGUUUUUCAUUAAAAAAUUAAAAGUAAUAAUUUAUAGGAAAUGUAAACACCACAAUAGUCAUCAUUGAUCCAUAAUAAAUUUAUAAUGACAAAUACAUUAUUAGAGCUUUUCUCUGAGUUUUUAAUGGUUUUUUCCCUCUUACAACAGUUGAUUUUUCUUUGUGAAUAAUAAGUAUCCUAAUGAUGUUUUGUUUCAAAUGACAGUAGUUUGAAUCUAUGUAUAAGAAGAAAUCAGCACUCCUGUAUAUGUAGAAGCUCUUUAGAUUCUAUCAAAAGUUCUAAAGGAGGAUCCUAGUCAUAGGUAGUUAGGCAGUGACAGUUCUGAAAAUAUUUGAUGGCUCUGAAUUUAAUUGAGUGCUUGGGACACUGAAUCCUAACCAGCCUUGGCCCCACUGACUUUCUCCCUCUGAAUGCCAUCUCCACUCAUCUACUUUAAAAAAAACCUGAUUCCUCCUAAAACCUUAUUUUUUCCUGCUUUUAUGUACAGGGACUUUCUACACAUAAAUGUGUUAUCAUGCAAGUUUGCUUCAAAAUAAGGAAGGGGCGAAAUAAGGGCACAUUUGGUAAGGGUUUUUUCAGGAUAGUCUUAUUCUGAAAUUAUAUUCUUCCUUUUAUUUUCUUCCUAUUGUUCUACAGUUAAACUAUCCUUGUUCUUACAAAAUAGUGACAUAAUUUUGCUUUGCUUUGUACUAUGUAUGUUCUUAAUUCAAAAAAUAAAUGUUUUCCACCCA